GCCAGUAGAAUGAACGUGUCUUACUUCCUGCUUGUUUGGUGUAUGACAGUCGGGAAACGGGAUUUUCUUUUCCUUUUCUGGCAGGAUUUGGACAGAGUGAAGCUCUAGGAUUCCCAGGACCUGUGACCACUCCGAGCCCCAGAAACAAGCCAGGGUGUUGCAAAUUGGAGACUGGUGUCCAGAUGUAUGAAGGACUCUAAAAACUCA